AUUGAACGCUGGCGGCAGGCCUAACACAUGCAAGUCGGACGGUAGCACAGAGGAGCUUGCUCCUCGGGUGACGAGUGGCGGACGGGUGAGUAAUGUCUGGGGAUCUGCCCGAUAGAGGGGGAUAACCACUGGAAACGGUGGCUAAUACCGCAUAACGUCGCAAGACCAAAGAGGGGGACCUUCGGGCCUCUCACUAUCGGAUGAACCCAGAUGGGAUUAGCUAGUAGGCGGGGUAACGGCCCACCUAGGCGACGAUCCCUAGCUGGUCUGAGAGGAUGACCAGCCACACUGGAACUGAGACACGGUCCAGACUCCUACGGGAGGCAGCAGUGGGGAAUAUUGCACAAUGGGCGCAAGCCUGAUGCAGCCAUGCCGCGUGUAUGAAGAAGGCCUUCGGGUUGUAAAGUACUUUCAGCGGGGAGGAAGGCGAUGUGGUUAAUAACCGCGUCGAUUGACGUUACCCGCAGAAGAAGCACCGGCUAACUCCGUGCCAGCCGCCGCGGUAA
rnacentral:rRNA from 1 species